UAUUAUUUUUCAAAAUCACUCCGUCUACACUAUUGUCACAAAAGUGGCGAAACCUAAGAAAUAGUAGUAGAUGAAGAAGCGGUAAAAUCGGAGGGUCUCGAAAUCACUUCCAUUGGAUCUCUAAACAAAGGCUCCUGGGAGAAGAAGUACUGGAGCUCCUCUAGGGUUUGAUAUCCAAUUGUCUACUUGCUUAAUCAAUUCCUAGCUUUAAAUUUAAAUUUCGCCUUUUGUUUCACAAAUGAUGUGUCAGAUUUGUCUGUUAGGUUGUUGUUACCGAUAAUUUAAAUAGAUGAGAACAAAACAUAUUUAUAUUCAAAUCUUUACAAUUGCUUGUUUGAUAGUUAAUGUUGUAAUUAUAAUUGAUGCCUGAGAUGCUUGUUAUAUUGCAUAAGCAAAUAGAUUAUGUAUGAAAAAAGGAGAUGUUCUUUGAAGGAAAAACCGUUUGAAAUGUGUUUGGAUUUUACAUUGAAGCCCUAAAAUUAAAAAAAAUUUGCAUGGGUUGCUGGGAGGACGAAAUUUGAGUUUGAAAUUGAUAAGGAAACUAGAAAUUCCUUUGCUUUAGGAGAAUCAAACUGGGAAGAAAUUGAACUUUUGGAACUAAUUAUUUAAAGAAAAGAUUUCUAAAGCAGCAAACCUGUUCUUAACAUGGCUGGGAGUUUCAUUCAUUGGGUCUUUGUAACUUAAACUAUGGUCUUUCAUUGUAAUUCUUCUGCCUGUUGUUGGGCCAGUGUCCUAUUUCGAAUGUCCAAAUGAACAAGAUCUUAAGGCCUGAACGAGCUUCAAGUUAAUUUGUUCAAAAAGAUGAGACUUAUUAUUAAAUUGGCAAUAAGGAUCUUUCCUGAAGAUGAUGGACCAUUGCUCUUGGCGAAAAUGGAACCCAUUAUGAUUGUUUUAUGCUGUAUGCUAUUUACUCCAUCUUUUUAUGUCAAUUGGGUGUUGGUUGCAUCUUGUUCUUUUAUAAGGGAGAGAUCGCUACCCUUUCCCAGUGGGAUACCAUACUUUUCGAGUUCAUAAUGGAAAUACCUGCAAGAUCAAAGUUCAUGAAGGUCAUAAAGGGCCUUUAUUUGUGAUCACUUCUGCUGAUGGCCUUCAUGUUCUGGGAAAACUCUAGAUAUUGCUUGGAAUAAGUUACAGAAGAAAUAUUGGCCCCGCAUGAAGACAUCAUGGAAAGAUACCUUCAUGGAAGAUAGAUGUCCUGGAGCCAUCAGCACCUCAUUGAUGCUUACAUAGAGGUGGCAGACAUGGCUAAGGUUGAACUUUGCCAGUGAGGUUUUCUACUGAAGUUUGAAACUGUUGUCAAGAGCCUAUUAUGUAGCAUUUUGUUUGAAUUAUGCAACCAAGCAAGUAGCUUCUCUUUUGCAGUUUCUGUUUUUCGGGUUAAAAAAUUCAUUUGUCCAGAGGUUACUUCAUGAAUUGGUGGCAAAUGUCAAUGGAACAGCAGAAAGGAGCUUAUUAUCUUCCAGCAUAUACAACGGAGUGCCCAGAAGAGACCAUGAUAAAUAUACAGAUGCAUGCAUAUAUCUGAUUUAUGGUCAGACAUUGUGAGAACAAAAUUACAAAGAAGAGAAGUAGAUGCAAAAUUAAAAAUACAAAGCCAGUUGGCAGGAAUGGCCUUAAAAAACCUCAAUCUCAAGGCUGGCAAAUCAAUUAUGAGGCUACAAGCUCAGCACAAUUAAAUCAGAGGAUUAAUAAGCAUGGAAGUUCUAUGCCUCUUUCUGCUUCAAGAGAAGGGAACGACUUUCAUAAAAUAUCAAGGAGCUUUGUCAGCAGCAUAGCACCUAGAUUUCAAAACAGCUGAGGGGAAAAAUGAUUACCUUUUGGCUAAAGACAGUUUUCCUGUAGUAUCCGUUGACUUUUCUGCUCAUCUCUCUGAGGGAACUAUUCCAGCUGAAUAAAUGAACAAAGUUGUGGGCUCUGAAAUUGGUAAAUCCACUAGAGUGACCAAGAACUUGUUGAAGAGGGAAAACCUCUAUAUAGUAGCAGCAGAAGAUAAAGCAGGAGAUGCACCAGUCCCAAAUGACUCUUGGUGCAGAAACUAUUAAUCUCUGUGCUGCUGAUGCUUUAGAUUCUGUGCAAGGUGUACCUUAUGCAAUGUUAUUUGUACUCCUUAGAUAAUAGUGCACAUUCCUGACCAGCUACCCAGGGUAAAAGUACCUACAAUCUUGAAGAAGACUUUACUACAGCCAACACUGUCAUUCCUGAAGAAUUGGCGACUGUUUCACAUCCAAAAGAAGAAAUAGACACAUUUAAGUCAAGGGCAAAUUCUGGAAAGAGUGAUUCUGAUUCAAUUGGCAGAAAUUGCCACUGCUCUGAUGACAGUUCUACUUCCACAAGCAAUUCCUCUGUUUCUGAAUCUUUGUCUUGUAGGGUAGAGUGAGUCCCAAGAAGAAUGAUGAAACUAGCCACUUUGUGAAUGCUUCAUUUCCAGCUGCAAUGCUAUCUAAGUAGACCAAUGAGGAAAUGGAAGAAAAGAUGCCAAUCCCCCAAAUAAAUCUUGGUUCAUUUCCAAGUUUUGAACAUCCCAUGUCUGUUGUUCUUGACAGUUUUGAAGAUGAUAUAUGUGGUGACCAUAGAACUAUCCAAAAGCUUUGUCUUCCAAGACUUUGGAACCUGAUCAAACUGGCACUGAUAAAUAUAAAAAUCAUUUGACCACUUAGAGAAGAGGAUGUUGUAGGGGUGAAGUGAAAAUGAGGCGGAGAAUGCGGGGAUUUUUACCCCAACCUCACAGGCCUAAAUGCCAAGAAUAUUCGAAACAUUAUUCAAGAGGUGUUGUGAGAGGCUCAAGGUGGUGCACUAGGCAGUACAAGUGUGCCCAUUGUAGCACUGCUAACAAAUGUAGCUCCAAAUGGGACAUUUGGGAAGAGAGAAAUAACACUGGUUGUGGGUCAAAUUCAGGUGCAUUCCGUUUUGGACUUCGAGCAUGACAUUUUUUUUUCUUAAAACAGAAGUCAUUGAGACAAUGAUUAAAGCCAGCUUCACUCUAUCAUUGGUCAACAUGCCCUUCAACCCUUUUUUACUUUUAUAAAGAGACUUUUUGGUUGACUUUAGAGGGAAUUAGGUACUAUUAUCUACUGCUAAAGUCAAUUUGGGGUGUGGUUCAAACUCAUUUGAGAAACCAUAGUUCAUUAUCUAAUUACUCUAUUUGCACUAAACCCGAUCACGGUCCUAACAAACACCGAAGUUGUCACCUUGGCCUUGAGCCCUUCAUUCUUCACGAACCUCUCCAAACUCACCAACAUCCUUUCCAACCUUCCGGCAUCUAAAUUUGGUGCCACCUUCCUCAUUUUUGCGAGGCAUAGCGCCACACUGCAAUAAGAAUCGAGUUAUACACAAUCUUUAAAUUGCAGUUUUGGUGUGAUAAAACUUUCCAAAGACAUAGAGAGCGUCCGCAAAGUCGAUGAAGUAGCGGUUCAUGACGAGGAUGAGAAUCAGUGAGAUCUUGAGUAUCAAAGCACCAUCAGUGUAGAAUCGAAGCAUAUUAGAGCUCGCUCUUUGACAAAUUACUCAGUCAUGUAUUCAGUCACAAAGACCUAUGUUUCUUUUCCCUUGCCCUCAUGGUCUUUUCCUCUCAGUUAUUUCCCUCUUUUUAAUUCACACUGUUCUAAAUCUCACCGUCUUACUCUCUCUCUUCACUCACCCUAAGAAACCCCCACACCCCCCCUCCCCCUCCCCCCUUUCCCCUUCCCUUUCCUUAAAACCUCAAUUCACAUGUAUUAGCAUCAACUAAUAAUCAUCAACCUUUGACGAUGUUUUGUCACAUACAUUAGCCAUCUUGAAGGCAAUGACCUAGCCCUUAUACAACGUCAAUGUGGUCACAAGAAAAGGAGGCACAACAUGUAGCAUAAAACCACUAUUUCACUCGAGUGGACCCUUAAUGAACAAUCAAUUUCUUGAA